rnacentral:siRNA from 1 species
AUGUGUGAUCCUAACAUACACGUA